GGCAGGAACAUGGGCCUGGAAGGAGGAGGGGGUGGAGAGGAGGGGAGGCCAGUGCCAGCCCAGCCCCUGCAGGGACCCCCAAGGUUCCCACAGUCCUGAUCCUGCCCAAAUUGAUGGACCCAGCAUGGGGAGGGGGGUUCUAGAGAAGCCCCAGACAGAGCGCCAGGGAUCCUGCCCAGGAACCACGUGGGACGGCUCCAGCAACUGCAGGAACAAGGUUGAGACGGAUGGCAGAGGGAGAGCUUUGGGACAAGGUGUUCUGCCCACUACCCUCAGGCCUGCUCCUCUGGAUCUGGGAAUGCACCUCCUAGGUUUAAUCCCACUGUCCCCGCCACCAUAGACACUGCUGGCACGAUGGUCACCGG